ACACUGUACAACAGCAUUGAAAUGAAAUUGUUAGAAUAAGUAAUUGGAAGCACAAAUGAAGUCAUUUAGGCAUGUGAAUAGCUGGAUUUGGUAUGCAGCCCAGAACAGCUGUCUCCUGUACCCACAACCACUGACAAACACAGAAAGGAAGGCCAGACUUCCACAGCCCAUUUCUGACAGUGCACAAAUAAACAACUGUGGUGAAUUUAACAGUAAAGACAAUAUUAAUCCUUCCCCAUUCCUGCCAUCUUGGGGAUUUAAAAGGUAAAUGAAAUUAAGUGAAAAUUGCAUUUAGCAGUCUGCAUGUUUAGGCUCAUCUUUGCCUUCCCUUCCCUUGCUCCUCCUGUCUCUUAAAAUCUUUUUACUUCCUUUUUCUUUAUACCAACCACCAGUGACAUGCCAAAUUCCCCUGCUUGGUUUAAUUAUUAAUUUCUCUGUAAAGGCCCAAAUGUAAAAAUAGAGUAAUGCAGCAGGGACAUAAUGAUAUUUUUCUUUCAGCUCUGUUUUCACGUUCUGCCUCUCUCCAACUGGCCUUGUCUUUUCUCCCUUUCCUCCUUCAGUACUUUGCUCUCUCCUUCUUUCAGACUCAGUAAUCCUUAACAAAAAAAAAAUACCUUUGUGAGUGAUGGAAGGAAAUGAAUUGGGCAUGGGAAGUGUGAGAUUUCAUAAUGAGAAAACAGAAGGGGGGAGCCCCAGAAAUUUCACAAAUUAUCCUGAGGAAAAUUAAAUUUGCAGGUGCUGUGGGGCCAUGGCCUAAGUCUUCAUAAUUCUACUCUUCUGUAAGAGUGGUACCUGCUUUUUCAGUUUACUUUUACUUUUAUUUUUUCCUGUCUGUCUCCACCUGCAGUUACUUCUUCAUGACUUGGAAAGGAAGCUUUUUGAAGCAGAGACUGCUUUGUGGUUUGUGUGCCAGUGUGGCUUCCAUAUAUUUUAUGUUACCAGGUCAAUGGAGAUAAAACUAGUAGCUGUCAUCCCUCUCUGAACAGCUAGUCUCAAAAUUCAAGAGUGUGCUCCUAUUUAAAACACAGAAGGGAUGGACCUCUGUGACAGUGUUGUUAACAGUGUUUGGGCAACAUGUGUAUUAUUUCUUAGGUACGCCAGUACUACUAUUUGCAGAGGAAGGAACCUACACACAGCUUCUUGAGAGGGUAAACUGGCUAUGUGCCACCUCAGCUCAGUUCUCAUAUUCCAGUUCAGUUUCAAGUUAGCUUGGGCAUCUGCACUAUGGAUGCUUACAAUUCUUCCUCUUGUACAGGGGAGAACUGAGGAUUUGAUUUUUUUUUUUCUUUGCUACUAAGUAAUAUUGAACAGGAGCUUCAGCAGGAGAGUGAAGCACAACAACAUGGGUUAAAACACUUGUUGAAAUAAACCUACCCCCUGCAAUGGCUGGAUCUUUUUGGAUGGAACUGUUUCUGUCAUAAAUGACAGCUACACUUGAUUCUUUAUUACUGAGAGGUGUUUUCAUAUUUUUUGUAAAAUAAGGAGUAUAUCUUGCAUUGUACUGCAAAAGUGCUGUAUAGGAAUCCUUAAUACGGAACACAAACAUAUGCUUUUGCAACAGUAUUCCUCUAAGUACAUUUUUCUUCUGGCUGUAUCCAGGCCAAAAAAGCUAAGAGUUUCACAGUAGUGAGGUAUGGCACAGAGCUCACUGAUUGCGGUGUGAAACAGUAAAGGAUGAUGAAAGGGAAACUGCAGAAACCUUUAAGCAUGCACAUAUAUUUUUCUUCUGCAUCCUUCCUUUUGGGUGGUUGAAAAUGAUCCUGCCGUAUGUUGUGUUGUUUAGUUUUUCUUUGGUUGGUUUUUUUUUAGAAAGGAUAGUGUAAGAAAUUACGUUAACAAGAAAAAAAAAAUCAUUUUUUUCCUGCCAGAGGGGAUAGGCAUCUUUUAAUUCCUGUAGUAAUUCUAAAAGUCAGUAUGAUUCAGGGAUUCCGUGUAGCUCACUGCUGCUCUUCAGUCUACAAGCAAUUAGUUGCUUGGGCCUGCCAGACAAACAGCAGGUUAUUGAUAUAUACAUAUAUUAGUCAAAUAUUUGUGUUUGAUUAUUGUCUAAAGUACACAUUGACUGCUUUCCCCUAAAUAACUCAUUGCAGUUUUAGUUGCAAAUAUUGCACCUUUUUGUUGGUAUUAGCUUCAUUACAGAGUAUCUUGUGAUCACAUCAGCACCAAAAUGUAAAUUGUUUUAACUGAAAACCAAAAUACUUCUUGUAGGAACAAUGCCAACAGCAGCUGAAGCUUGUUCAGGAUUCAGUCAGAACAUGCCAAGUUCACAAACCUCACAAGCAGGUCUUCUCCAAAGGUCUAAGAGAAUAUUGUGGGAGAAGUGAAAUCAUACAUAGACAACAGAGGGAAUUGGUGUUCUUAUGCUUCACCUUUCUUCUGAUAAAUGUGCUGCAAUACCAUCCAGCGAUUUAGAUCAUUUACUCCUACUGUAACAGCAUAAAAUCAUGCUCAGGCAGAUUAUGUAUUAUUAACCUUUCCCUUCUACUUCUCCAGUUCCCCAGCUAGUUCUUGGUCCAGCUGGAAAAGUGGCAGCAAUGGUACACACAUAUGGACAUGAUGUGGCUGGCUGGCUAGCGGGCCUAAUGUAACCAUUUCUCCUGAGGAGAAACCAGUAUUGUUUUGUAUUCUGACUACUGACUGACGCCCUCCUUGAUCCCCUACACCUACAUCACUAGAAUCUUCUAUUGCACAGAGCUUUGGGUGAUGGUAUACAAGUUUUUUUUAUUAUUUUUUCCUUAUUUGAAAAAAUAAAACACACAGGAACUUGG